rnacentral:rRNA from 1 species
AGUGAACGCUGGCGGUAGACCUAACACAUGCAAGUCGAACGGCAGCACAGUAAGAGCUUGCUCUUACGGGUGGCGAGUGGCGGACGGGUGAGGAAUACAUCGGAAUCUACUUUUUCGUGGGGGAUAACGUAGGGAAACUUACGCUAAUACCGCAUACGACCUACGGGUGAAAGCAGGGGAUCUUCGGACCUUGCGCGAUUGAAUGCGCCGAUGUCGGAUUAGCUAGUUGGCGGGGUAAAGGCCCACCAAGGCGACGAUCCGUAGCUGGUCUGAGAGGAUGAUCAGCCACACUGGAACUGAGACACGGUCCAGACUCCUACGGGAGGCAGCAGUGGGGAAUAUUAGACAAUGGGCGCAAGCCUGAUCCAGCCAUACCGCGUGGGUGAAGAAGGCCUUCGGGUUGUAAAGCCCUUUUGUUGGGAAAGAAAAGCAGCAGGUUAAUACCCCGCUGUUCUGACGGUACCCAAAGAAUAAGCACCGGCUAACUUCGUG